AGAAAAUAGGAAGAGGAGGAGGAUCGGACCUUGCUGAGGAGGAACGCCGACGGGCGGUUGUUGUUGGUUGUAGUAACUCAUCUUUUGGCAGACGAAGAUGAAGGUUAGUUUGUAGCAGCAGCGAUGGAUCUGUUUUGUUUUGUUUUGUUUAGCGAGAAUAUAGAGAUACUAGUAGUAGUAUAUGAAUAUGAUCAAUUUAUUCCUUUACAUAUAUAGUAUCUAAUUAUUAUUUCAUUUAAAUAUAGUUUAUUAUUGACGCCUCUUUGGGCUUUUUGUGGGGUGUGGCUUCUGUCAUGGACUUGGAGGUUGUAACCGAGGAAAACUAACCUUUUUAAUUUGUUUUUCUUUUCCAAAAACAAAUAAUAUCUAGAAGGAGAAAAAUCUAGAAAAUAAAUUAGUUUUCUUUUUUUAAAAAAUAAGAUGGAAAAAAUUGGAAAUUUGAUAAGUGCCAAACAUUAGUAAAAUUACAGGUUAAAUUUAGGCACUUAUUAACUUGUUUUGAAAAAAAUCUUAAGUAAAUUCUUCCCUUUUGUGUAAAUAUUGUUCUUAAUCAAAAUAUAUCAAAUGCAUUUAAACCCAACUAUGUUGAUAGGUUUUGUUGAAUAAAAGAAAGGUUUUUGAAGUUUUGAAGUAUUCGCUCAACGAACAAUGGCGAGCAUUGGCGAGCAAAGUCAGUUCAACAAGGGUUCGUGGCAAGCAAUAGCGAAGCAACA
rnacentral:lncRNA from 1 species